UACACGUACUGUACUCUCCAUUCCCAUUUCAAAGUCAAAGAUUCAAAUUAUUAAAGGGGAAGAAGAAAAAGAAUCAACUACUGUAUCUUCUCAAAACAGAACACCCAAAAUUUACAGAGAUUAAAGCUCCGUCGCCUGCACCAAAUCGACCGGUCACCGCCGGUCCAGAUCGGCAGAUCCGUUUUUCAUCCACCGAAGCAGCCCCGAUUAACCCCGCAGAUAAAUUGUGGUAUGUAAUGUAUGGAUGCAGUAGUAUGAAAUUGGAAAUUUGGGGAGAUGUGAUUUGCAACUUGGCGGAUUGGGGGGGUGAGGAUUUUGAAUAAGCUGCUGCCUCUAUUCUCUGCCAUAGAAAGAAUUUGUAUGUUGGAGAUGAAUUUUGGAAAAAAUUUAGGCCGCUUGGUUUGAGAUUACCUGUCGAACUAGAUUGGAAAAGGCUAAGGAUGGUGAUGGAGAGUGCCGAUCUCUGUUACAAAAUUUCAUGAGUGUAGGGUGUAUUUUAGGAAUUAGAACAAUAGAAGAAAAGAGUGAAGGACUGGAAUCCGAUUCCCCUUGGCUACUCCUCUCUUCUCGUGAUCGAUGGAUUGAAGUUGGCAACAAAAGGGGUCGAAUGGACGUCUCCCUCUCUGACUCUCUUCUCUGUUGUAUCUCUCACAGUUGGAGUAAUUGAGAUUGUGAAAGAAUGUGUGAAAACCUAGAGGAGAUUAGGGUAUAAAACUACCGAAUUGAGUCCAAUAAAUAUUCUUCAAGGAAAUGAAUUAUUUAAGUUUUUGAUU